rnacentral:rRNA from 1 species
ACCCGCACAAGCAGCGGAGCGUGUGGUUUAAUUCGAUGCAACGCGAAGAACCUUACCAAGGCUUGACAUGCCAGAAGUAGGAACUCGAAAGAGAGACCACCUGUAUCCAGUCAGGAACUGGCACAGGUGCUGCAUGGCUGUCGUCAGCUCGUGUCGUGAGAUGUUGGGUUAAGUCCCGCAACGAGCGCAACCCUUGCCAUUAGUCGCUACGAAAGGGCACUCUAAUGGGACUGCCGGUGACAAACCGGAGGAAGGUGGGGAUGACGUCAAGUCCUCAUGGCCCUUAUAGGUGGGGCUACACACGUCAUACAAUGGCCGGUACAGAGGGUAGCCAACCCGCGAGGGGGAGCCAAUCCCACAAAGCCGGUCGUAGUCCGGAUCGCAGUCUGCAACUCGACUGCGUGAAGUCGGAAUCGCUAGUAAUCGCGGAUCAGCAUGUCGCGGUGAAUACGUUCCCGGGUCUU